ACAGUAGCUCACUUGGUAAAGCACUGGAUUCCUAAUCCAAAGGCUGUGGGUUUGAUACCUACCAGGGCUA